GCCGCGUCGUUGCGCGGCACCCGGGUCACCUCGCGGCGGCGGCGCCGCGUUCGGCGGCGUGGCAUCACCGGUUCCAGGUACCGGGGAGGCGGCGC
rnacentral:tRNA from 1 species